GUCACUCUCUUAAUCAGUUACAAAAGUGCUGGGUUUAUACAUUAAUAAUUCUUCAGUUGAUGGAAGGACUUUGCUGUCAGAACACAUUCUUUCAGCUCUCACUGAACUGCUGGACCGGUCCUCAGUUGGCUGGAUGUCUCUAUUUUGGUAGAAAGUUAUUUUUUUCAAUAACUAUCCUAUACUAAUAAAUGUGAAUAAUAUGCUUUAUUAUUCCUGUGGCAAGGCUGCAGUGGCCCACAUGGGUGGUUGGCGAAAUGAAUGUCAUACUGCAGACCUGGUCAGGAAGGCUGCUGCUCCUGAGACAAGGAAGGUGCUGCCUGGUGGGGAAGUAACCGAAGUCAGAUGCUUGCUCCAGUGUUACCCUGGACCACAGCCAACCACAAGCUCUAUGGAGGGGAAGAUUUCCAAUGAGGCCUGCUCUCAAGGCUGGGAGGUGAUGCUGACUUGGCAUUCAGCUUUCGGUUUGAGUUGUCAACCAAAUGUGGUUUGGUUCUCCUCCAGAGAGACUCCACCUGGGGAGUUCUCACUGCAUGUCUGCUGAAUUCCAAGAAGAAGGCUUCCUAAAAUGAAUGGCGAAAGCUUCUGAACUCUUCAAGUCCAUUUUCAGAAGUUACACAGUGCCAUUUCUGCUACUCUGUGUUGAUGAAAAUAAUCCACAGGAAAAAACUCAGUUUCUAGGAGAGGGAAAAUAGCCUCGAUUCUCAAUGAGACAAAUGGGUAAGACUUUGCAGCUAUCUUAUAUGCCCUACUUUCUCAUAUGUCUUCUUGACAAAAACAAAAUAUGUCAGUGGUAACUCAAGAGACCAUUUCCUUUCUUUUAAUCACAAAGUUCAACAAGUUAUACAUAGUUAACAUUACCACAUUUUGACAAUGCUAACUAUACAUUUUUUAUAUUUUAUACAUCAAGAAACAUGAUCAACAGUAUUCUACAUUUAAAACUCCUAGCAUAUUAUUUUUCUUUAUAUGAGGAUGCAGCUUCAAUAGUGGUUUAGAUUAAAUAUUAAAACGAGGGAAUUUUAUGGCAUACUUAGCAUUACUUAUGCUCUUUUCAAACUAUGAAAGUUUAGGAUUUUUACUUUUUCUAUGCUCAAUGUUGUUAUGCUUGAAUGUGAGUGGCAUGACUCUGCUACAAUAAAACCUUUGACAGAUGAAAAAAGAAUCUAUGA
rnacentral:lncRNA from 1 species